CCGAACAUGUUCAGCUGUGGUCUGGAUGAGCAGGCAGACAUUUUCGCCGCAUCUUGGGUGUUAUUUAAUGAUAAAAACGGGAAUGUUUGUGAGUGAUGUAGAUCGCUGCAUGCUCACACCUGUGCGGUGCUACAUGACAUGUGUUGUUUGCUCUGCUAUGGUUUGUACGUGAUUAAUCAUUCUGAGUAUAGAGUGGUGUGAGAUGGAUGUAAAAACAUCCACUAGAAUCUGCAGGUGUUCUGGCAGUGUGUGCAGCCCGUCAUCUGGCUGGUACCUCUCUGCAGUCUCAGGCUCCAGCCCACUCAGAAGUGCUGGACCAGCAGGGAAGCUAAGUGCUGAUUAACACAGCCGUCUAAGGACAAUGAGUCCAGAGCACAUGAAAGGGGGACCUUCUCUUUGAUUGACCCCCCCCCCCCCCAGUCCGUGGCUGCCAUAACGAAGUGGGCCGCGGACAACUUGGCAGUGCCGAGUCUGACCAUCACUCACACUCAUAAAGUUUGACGAUCGACUUGCGAGAGGAAUAAAGUGGACCUCACAUUGAUCAGCGAGACUGCGAGAUUAAAAAUAUUUGGACAUUUGCCAAUCCUGGGAGGAAUUCUCUGAGGUGGGGCUUCUGUCCUGCUUCCCGGGCCUCUUUUCCCACAAGAGUCUGUCCAGAGACAGAGAGGAACCUUUUGUCACUGC